GGGGCAACCCCUAGUAAAGUGGCGUACGGGUGAGUAACGCGUAGGUAAUCUACCAAAGUGUCUGGAAUAACCUGCCGAAAGGCGGGCUAAUACUGGAUAGUGGCGACGGAAUCCGUAAUUGGGUUUUUCGGGAAAGGGAGGGAGCAAUCCCCUUCGCACUUUGAUGAGCCUGCGUCUCAUUAGCUAGUUGGUGGGGUAACGGCCUACCAAGGCAUUGAUGAGUAGCUGGUCUGAGAGGAUGAUCAGCCACACUGGAACUGAAACACGGUCCAGACUCCUACGGGAGGCAGCAGUGGGGAAUCUUGCGCAAUGGACGAAAGUCUGACGCAGCCACGCCGCGUGAGUGAAGAAGGCCUUCGGGUCGUAAAGCUCUGUCGGGAGGGACGAACAUCCCAGGUGUUAACAGCAUCUGGGACUGACGGUACCUUNCAAGGAAGCACCGGCUAACUCUGUG
rnacentral:rRNA from 1 species